AUUGAACGCUGGCGGCAUGCCUUACACAUGCAAGUCGAACGGUAACAGGUUAAGCUGACGAGUGGCGAACGGGUGAGUAAUGUAUCGGAACGUGCCCAGUCGUGGGGGAUAACUGCUCGAAAGAGCAGCUAAUACCGCAUACGACCUGAGGGUGAAAGCGGGGGAUCGCAAGACCUCGCGCGAUUGGAGCGGCCGAUAUCAGAUUAGGUAGUUGGUGGGGUAAAGGCUCACCAAGCCAACGAUCUGUAGCUGGUCUGAGAGGACGACCAGCCACACUGGGACUGAGACACGGCCCAGACUCCUACGGGAGGCAGCAGUGGGGAAUUUUGGACAAUGGGCGCAAGCCUGAUCCAGCCAUGCCGCGUGCGGGAAGAAGGCCUUCGGGUUGUAAACCGCUUUUGUCAGGGAAGAAAAGGGUGUUUCUAAUACAGACGCCUCAUGACGGUACCUGAAGAAUAAGCACCGGCUAACUACGUGCCAGCCGCCGCCGUAACAC
rnacentral:rRNA from 1 species